rnacentral:misc_RNA from 1 species
GUGAAUCAUCGAAUCUUUGAACGCAAAUUGCACUCUCUUCGGAGAGUAUGCCUGUUUGAGGGUCAGCCUAAAAAAAAAAUCGACAUAGUCGCUGUUUCGCGGUGACAUUCGUCGGAAUUUGGUUCAUUUUAAACCCUUGGGUUUUAAGGGCUUUAAAUUUUUUUUUAGGUUUCCCCGAACGUUUUUAAGUUUUAUUUCUUAUACUUUUAAGGAA